AGUGAACGCUGGCGGUAGGCCUAACACAUGCAAGUCGAACGGCAGCACAGGAGAGCUUGCUCUCUGGGUGGCGAGUGGCGGACGGGUGAGGAAUACAUCGGAAUCUACUUUUUCGUGGGGGAUAACGUAGGGAAACUUACGCUAAUACCGCAUACGACCUACGGGCGAAAGCAGGGGACCUUCGGGCCUUGCGCGAUUGAAUGAGCCGAUGUCGGAUUAGCUAGUUGGCGGGUUAAAGGCCCACCAAGGCGACGAUCCGUAGCUGGUCUGAGAGGAUGAUAAGCCACACUGGAACUGGGACACGGUCCAGACUCCUACGGGAGGCAGCAGUGGGGAAUAUUGGACAAUGGGCGCAAGCCUGAUCCAGCCAUACCGCGUGGGUGAAGAAGGCCUUCGGGUUGUAAUGCCCUUUUGUUGGGAAAGAAAUCCAGCUGGCUAAUACCCGGUUGGGAUGACGGUACCCAAAGAAUAAGCACCGGCUAACUUCGUGCCAGCCGCCGCGGUAA
rnacentral:rRNA from 1 species